CAUUUAGGCAGCACAUAUGCUAAAAAACUUAGAGUGAUACUGAGAAAAUUAGCUGGCCCUUACUCAAGGAUGACACGCAAAAUCAUGAAGUGUUCUGUAUUUUA